rnacentral:rRNA from 1 species
GGCUCAGAUUGAACGCUGGCGGCAUGCCUUACACAUGCAAGUCGAACGGUAACGCGGGGCAGCCUGGCGACGAGUGGCGAACGGGUGAGUAAUGCAUCGGAACGUGCCUGGUAGUGGGGGAUAACUGUUCGAAAGAACAGCUAAUACCGCAUACGACCUGAGGGUGAAAGGGGGGGAUCGCAAGACCUCUCGCUAUCAGAGCGGCCGAUGUCGGAUUAGCUAGUUGGUGGGGUAAAGGCCCACCAAGGCAACGAUCCGUAGCUGGUCUGAGAGGACGACCAGCCACACUGGGACUGAGACACGGCCCAGACUCCUACGGGAGGCAGCAGUGGGGAAUUUUGGACAAUGGACGCAAGUCUGAUCCAGCCAUGCCGCGUGCGGGAAGAAGGCCUUCGGGUUGUAAACCGCUUUUGUCAGGGAAGAAAUCUUCUGAAUUAAUACCUCGGGAGGAUGACGGUACCUGAAGAAUAAGCACCGGCUAACUACGUGCCAGCAGCCGCGGUAAUACGUAGGGUGCAAGCGUUAAUCGGAAUUACUGGGCGUAAAGCGUGCGCAGGCGGUUAUGCAAGACAGGUGUGAAAUCCCCGAGCUCAACUUGGGAACUGCACUUGUGACUGCAUAGCUAGAGUACGGUAGAGGGGAGUGGAAUUCCGCGUGUAGCGGUGAAAUGCGUAGAUAUGCGGAGGAACACCGAUGGCGAAGGCAGCUCCCUGGACCUGUACUGACGCUCAUGCACGAAAGCGUGGGGAGCAAACAGGAUUAGAUACCCUGGUAGUCCACGCCCUAAACGAUGUCAACUGGUUGUUGGGAGGGUUUCUUCUCAGUAACGUAGCUAACGCGUGAAGUUGACCGCCUGGGGAGUACGGCCGCAAGGU